rnacentral:sRNA from 1 species
CUUCUGGGAAGCCAGCUCAGCUGAUGGAGAUGGGCCUCAGCAGCCUGUUCAUGAUUCCCUUCCAGUGCUGCCUCAAUGCUACCAGCAUGCUUCCAACCCUUAAACCUCCAUGUAAAACACAGCCAACUACAGGGUUGCUCAGAGAGGCAAACCCUCCUUGUGUCUCCCUACACUGAUUUGGAGCUUGCCUGGGCUGGUCUCCAUAGGGACAUGUCUGCAUGAUUUCAGUCCAAUACUCCCAAGUUUAUCGGGAAAGACCUUCGACAACUGCAAAACACAGUAAUUGGGAUCCCAGAAGUAGUCUACGGAGGAGUAAGGCUGAAUUUCUGAGCAGCAGCCUCAACCUAAAUGCAAAUACUCAUGCGACUGAUGGAGUGCUGCUGGAAGAAGCUGGAAUGUAAGAGAAGGCCUGGGAAACUUCAUCCAGAUGUUACACAUCCAGCAGCGCCCAGGAGGGCUCCAUAUCCCUACCAGGAUUAACCAAGUAAGGGAGGGUGUGGGUGACACACUCAGCAGGUAGGUGGCGUCCCUAUGUCUUGAAGGUCAAAUGACUACUCAUUUGAAAGGAAAAAUGCCUGGCUAUCCUGCACCCUGGAGUCUCUGGGGUCACACCAACAUUUCCGUCGGGCACUCGGGGUGGUUGAAAAGCCGUUACAGAGGGGUAAAGUUUGAGGGGUUGCCAAGCUACUCUAACCAGGCCGAAAGGCGUGCUGUGGAGUCCAGAUCAGGAUCUGGGGUUGUCCCUCCCUUCUCAGACCCCUCAGGAAGGAAAUGGGGUGGCUACAGAGGCGGUGAGGUGCCAGGGCGCACCGAGGGCCCACCUGUUGCGUGGGGGCGGGCACCUGGCGCUGAGUGUACGAAGGGACUGUGCGUGCCUGUGUGCGUGCGUGGGUGUGUGAACGCACGUGUACUCGGGCCGCGUGCGCGUGUGUUCCGCGUGUGCACGGGCGUGGCGGCGGGCGCGCGACCUGGUCGCCUUAGUGCGUGCCCGGCGCUCUGCGCGCCCGUCCGCGGGAGCGGAGCAUCGCCUCCGGCCAGGAGUGUGCAUGCGUGGGGAUUCCAGUGAGAGGCCUGUCUGCGGGUUCUGGUGAGAGGAAAGCCUGAAAGGAACAAGCCAGCCACAGGCACGGGAGACACACCCUCCAGGACCUACCCCGGGAAGGGUGGGGAGAGGCCAUGAUCCAGUCACUCUAGUCCAGUGACCUGAAGAAAUGCUGGAGUUUCCCACCCCGGUACUGAUGUUGUACUUCACAAAUUUGAGCACCAACUGUGCACCAAGCUCUGUCCAAGGGAACCUGCAGGUGUAAAGCCGUCUAAAUCACUACUUCGGCAUGGACCCAAGAAGCCUCUUCCCAUGUAAGGCUGCACUAUGGAGUCCGGAAGCUAAGGGGCAGCUUCAGAACAAUGAAGACAAUGCUGCAUCAUAAUGUGGUAGUCCAUAGCAACCUAAACAUCUUUGAAAUAUAUAUAUGUAUAUAUAUGUAUGUAUAUGUGUGUGUAUAUAUAUCAAACCCUUUGUAUACUAAUUUUUUAUCAGGCCUAGGGCCUUACCAAUACCACCUAAGGAACAGUAGAGUUUGGCUAGUUAGUGUUAGCCAAGUUCUGUACAGUGCUGGAUACAGAAGAC